GCUCUUCCCCCUUCCUCCAUCUAAUUCCUCCACCGUCCCCACCCGGAAAGAUGCUGAAUAAACACGCUUCUUACUAAAGGUGAAUUUCUAAAUUUUCACCAUGUUUAGGAGAAAAGAAAGUUGUGCAAGGGAGAAGGCAGUGGUGCUUAGGGACGUUUGUCGCUAUCCGGAGGUUUUGGUGAUUGUUACAGCUGGGGGUGGCAUCAAGUGGGUAGAGCCCAGGGCCAGGGCUCGACCUGCCACGAUGUACAGGGCAGCAUGCGCAACACAGAGCAUCCGGCCCCUCAUGUCCACAGUGCCCAGGACAGGAAGCCCGGAGGCAAGACGAACUGUGUGUGAGGGGACAGAGGACAUCUGGGAGUCAGAGUCAACCAUCAGUCCCUAAAUAAUGGUGUUGAAAUAACACUCUAACAUAAUAAUGCUAACACUGAAAUCCAUGAAACUCUGUAUUGACCACGGUUUAUUUGCCCUUUUGUCCUGGCUUGAGCCCUAAAGGUAGAGUAGCAGCUAAUGGGGAAUUUAGGAGGGCUGCAGCUUCCCAAAGGGUUGAAAAAUAGCCAACAGAGUCGGCCAUCAGAGGACUAGGUACCGGGCUUGCGGACUGUGGACAGAGGGUCACGGACCACAUGAGGGCUGUGGGCUGGGGUUGUGGGCAAGGCUGUGGGUUGGGCUCAGCCAUUGCUCAUGGGUUGGGUCAUGGAGGCCAGUCACUUUGCUCAGAGCUUUGUCUUCUGCCCCUGCCCCCAUUCUCCCAAGACCAUCUUAGUGGUAGUACUCACGGCCUUCUUAGCUUACAAAUCUCACAACCUUGGACUCCCUUUUGGUUUGCCCUGCAUUCCCUGUCCGUUCGUAGUUUUCACAGAGUGCUGUCCAUUCUCCCGCUAUAGAGUGGCACCCUUCCUCCAGCCCGGGGCCCAGCACAGUGCCACCACGGUGCUGCCUGCUGCCUGCUGCCGGGUUUUGUGACAAUCCAGCUGCCCACCAGACCCAGCUCUCCCAGCUCUCAGUAUAGACAUCACAUCAGUAUAGACAUCAGCCUGGUGUCUGAAAGCUGAUUUUGUGCCAGAUGAACUUGCUGGAGUGGUCCACUUGCGCUCUGCUAGGACCCUGCUGGAAACGGACAUGGACCGUGUGAACCCAGAUGGCGAACGAUGGUCCCUGGCCUGGAGAAGCUCCUGGGAGGUGAUGGGAUGAGGAAAUUGAGGCCUGGGAAGGCACUGUGGACAUCCAAGAUCACAGGCCAUGGUGGAGUCAGUAUUUAUAUCCAGGCUGCCUGAACUCAAGGCCAGAGCCUCUAUUUCUCCAGCGGGCCGAGGGAAGAAAUGUUUAAAAUCAACUCGAGUCCAAAAUUUGUCAACAUAGCGUCUGACAGGGCUCCUGGUGAUUCUGAGUCAGAGUCCUGAGCAAUGGAACUGGGGGCUGAAAGCGAUGGUCCCAGGGACACCACCCCAACUCUGGACAAGGCCACUCUUUCUGUCAGCCUACAGGCCUCAUAGUGAGUGAGGGAGAAGCUGGCUCAGCGUCCCGCCCCUGUGACUAAGUGAGCUGUGCCACUGCAUGACUGUGUGACCAUAGCCUGCCCCUUCCUCUUGUCCUGGUGACAGAAUGAUCAUUUAUGAACCAUUACCGCAUUUAAUCCUCAAACUCUGGUGAUUCUGGUCCUCAUCAGAUAGGCCUGGAGGCAGAAGCAGCAAGAGGCAGGUGCUGCUAAGGGGAGGAACCUAGGCCACAAGCAGGUAGAGCCAGUUCCAGAACCAAGUCUGAUUACAUGGGGUACCUGUACCCAACCCUUGGGCCUCAGGGAUGAGGGCCAGUUCCAGGGGCUCAGCCCUCAGUGCCAGGACCAUGCCUCUGUCCCAUGCGUGACUCCUGGCCAGGCAGGCAGGAUGAGAAGACGCAGGAAAGCCUUGGCCACCCAGAGGGCAGGGGGCUCUGUCUUCCCUAUCAGACUGGGGGCUCCCUAAGUUCAGGGACUAGUCUCUGCAAAUAAAUGAUAGAUUCUCUUA